GGGACAAUGAUGCUGACAGGACAGGAGGAGGUGACAUUCAGACAUUCAACGCAGACAUUUUCAUCCAAAGCAACUUGAGGAAGAACAGAAGCAGUUCAUCCUAAAAGUGGGCUGCUGUAAUUUUUACAUCUAUGGAAAGAGGAGCUGAGAAGAAAAGAUAGGCUGGAAAGCAGUACUUCUUGUUGAGGACAAUCCUGAAUAGGAACACUUUCUCAUACACAUAGAUUAUUAUUAGUGUUUGAUUGUUUGUUUCAUUUUUAUGAAUUGUAUUGUUUUAAUUUUUCGUUUUAUUUGAAAUUACCUAAGUUAGAUUCAUGCUAAUACUUUAACGGGACCUUGUAUCUUUGCUGGCUGGCUGGCUGGCUGUAGAGUUGGUUUCACAUACACAUGAAGUUUCUAAUUAACUAACUUUUAAGUUCAGUUUGGUUUAAACUUGUAUUUACCCAUGGUAAUUCAUUUAAAUUUCUAUUCAUGCUUAUAUAUUAAUUUCAAUGAACUUCUGUAUUUGUGUAUAGCUGGCAAUUUGGGCAAGAUACGUUUAACACACAAAUGUAACUGUCACAAAGGUUUUUUUUUUAUUAUCAGUUUGUUCUAA